GAAGGGAGGGAGGGAGGGUGGGAGAGGGGUGAGAAAGAAACAAGGAGGAAACAGCUGUGCGUGGAGGUAGACUGAGAAAUGCAGAAUAGUGGGACAGGAGCAAACUGCACACAGGCAUCGAUGGGGCCUGGGAAGGACCUUAUGAAUGAUCGGGUAUUGGUAGAUGAGUUAUGAUGACCUUAAAUGUGUGUGAUGUGUAGAUUGCACUGAGAAAUGUGAAAGUAGUCUCAAAUAAACACUAACUUGGAUUUAGGCAUCAUACUUAAAUACUUGUGUAAUUACCAUUUACUUUGCUCUAACUUUUUCACUUUAAAUCCUUAGGCUCCAUUCAUGCUUAUUAAAGUAAAGAUAAAGAUUUGGUCUUCAUAUCGGAAACCGACAAAAGCAAGAUGAACUCACAAUUUUGCCAAAAAUAAUAAAACUGGAGAUAUGAAACUUCUCAACCAAACGCGUCUCAAGAUUGUGCCAAAACGCAAAUUAUCCCAGUAUUCAUAAUAAGGUUACUUUGACUUUUUUCUGAUACAUUUCAGCUCUAAUUAGCUUUCUAAUGUUUGGUUCCCUGUUGCUACGUGCAGGCGCAAACAAUUCGACCGUUUGGAAAACAUGCUCAUUGGCAUUCAUGCAUUUAGAGUCAGACGAGAAGAUUGACACCACUUUCAGGUGUGAGGACUUAAAAGGUCAGAGUCCGUGACGUGACGCCGUCCCCGAGACUUGCGUCGGGAAAGAGACGUCCGUAACUUAAUUAACUGUCGGCAGUUGGCACUACCAACCCUUAAAUCAAGGUUCAAACGCUGUUUAAAUAAGUUAUUAUCUUCUUUCGUUUCUGUGAAUGAGCCUAAGAACGACUCUGGGCCCAACGGAGUAGUGCAGAAGCAAUGCGAUGGCCCUGAGGAUGGGAAGGGUUAUUUUAUUCAAACUACUCCUUCUGCCGUGCUGAUGACCCAGCGUACACAAUUUCACCUGGGUUCACCAAGAGAACACAAAGGCUUUCUGAAAGGGAUCCGGCAUGUGAGACCUAUUCAGAGACCGAAUUGAGCCCGCCUGCUCUGAGAUCAGGUGCAUGAGACUUGUUCUGGUUUCCCAUGCUGGUCCUGUGAGGCCUGCAACCGUGUUAAAGCCAGAAAAACCUUUGCGGCUGUGUGACAAACGGGAGCCUGAGAGUGACAGGCGUCCUUUCAGCCCUGUCUGUAUAUACUUUAUAUGAUCAAUGUAAAAUACCCUUUACAGGAGUAAAGCUGGAGUACAACAGUGACCUUUACCUAAAAGACUGGUGGGUUUUGCUACGCUGAUUUUCUCCUGAAUCUUAUCGAAAAAACAGUCCUUUUCAUCUUCAUCUAAAUCUGAACGUGUUUAAUAUUCCAACUGUCCCAAACCCUGGCAUUUAGCUAACACCAAAGCUCCUGGUUAGUAUGUUGUUAGUAUGUAACCGUGUGCAGCGGGCCGCUCCCCCACGCCUGGCGCUCAGACGGUCACCUCAGUCGAGCUGUGGGUGGAGUAGCUCUUCUGCCUGUUGUGGUGGUAGUAGGAAGGUUGGGAUGGCUGCCCCCCCUGCACGUGCUGCCCUCCCAGUAUGUGCUGCCCCCCCUGUAUGUGCUGCCCCUGGACGUGCUGCUGCCCCAGUAUGGGCUGCUGCCCCGGCCCCGCGCCCCCUCCACCUGCUCCAUACAUCCCUCCGUAGGGCUGGCCAAAGAGGUCCUGCAUGUUCUCUAUACUCCGCUGCCUCCGGGUGGAGUAGCCGUGCCUCCGGCCGGAGCUUUGCGCGGUGGAGGUGGCGUGUGCCGGGGCGGAGGCCUGUCUCUGGACGUGGCGCCCGGUCGACUCCCAGGCUUUGAAGGCCGAGCCGGAGAGCAGCGGGUGAGUGGUGGUUUUGGGCAGGCGCGACUGCUCCGGGUGGUCGGAGGGGAUGGAGAUGGAGAGGGGGGCGUGGAGGUCGUGGUGCGCCGACACGGGCUGGUGGAUGUAGGAUUUCUCUUUGUGCUGCACGGGCACGGGCUGGAAGCUGGGAGGGGCCACAGGCUGGUCCUGGGAGAAGUCCAUGAGCGGGAAGCUCUUGUAGUAGGUACGAGACGCGCUGUGCGCUGCAACGGAGGAGAGGAGGCGAGAAAAAGUGUCAUUCAUCAGUCAGCCGAACUAAACAUUAGACUCAUUUGCGUGUGAAUUAUUAAACUGUCACUGACGUGUUGGAAACAACAGUUUACAGAACUCUGGUAGAAACCAAAGAUAGAAAGUAUCGAGCGCUCCGAUUAAAAGGCUGAGUCCUCGGUGGGAUUUUAUUUGUGUAUCUUGGGCGGUUGCCCCCCCACCAAACAUCCCCCCAAAGUAAUCUUCUUACCAUGCUCUGUUCUUAACAUUUAACAAUUAGGCCAUUUCAGCAAACACAUGCUAUAUUUGUUUAAUGUGUUUAUAUUUAAGAGUCACUUUCGAUUUGUCUCAGACGGAUGCGGUUCUGAGUCACGUGCAGAAGUAGACUUCAGUGAACUUUCAGUGUGUAAACACAGAGCGUGUCAUUGCAGAAUCCCACAAGUAAUCCAUGAUGCAUUUUUAUUUAGGCCUCCAGGCUCCGACCCGUCAGCUCUUAAAGGGACACCAUAGAACUUCUCACAUAUCAAACCUGCUCUCACCUUAAUGCAUUCAUGGGUUUUGCCCCUUUAAGCCUCACUUGCUCUGUUAUGACCAGUAGCUUGUGGUGGCUAAUGUUAGCUUAUGCACAAUAUGAUCGUUUAUCAAGUAAUAAUUAAAAAGUGUAAAGGCAGUGGGUCCAGCAGGAAGGGGCAGCGAGAGUUUUCAGAACCACAGACGAGAGGGAACAUUUUCUUCCUGCACUUUUGGCGUCCAGAAAAGGUGAAAUUUAUCAAAGUACUUUGAAUGAGUUGGAAGAUCCAACUCAGAGAGAAUCAGAGGACAGCGAGGAAGAGAGGGGCGGUUUGAACAAUUUAAGAACGUCCGAUUGGUCUUUGACCUUGGGGGGGUGGGGGGGAGUAGCGGUGUUCCUUUCUUGCUGCCGAGGGCCGGGAGAGCGACCAGGGGGGAGAAACUGAGGAGUGCACCGGGGAAGAUGGAGGUAAAGGUAUGCAGGGACAUUGCAAUGAAGGUUUAUUAAUAACCUCGCCGCAAGUCCAGACUGGGCACGCGUGUAUGCAAGUGUGUGUCAUGGGCUGGCAUAGAUGUCAGAGGGAAUCAUUUAAAUAAGCCAUAAACUGAGGUCAUCGCCGCCAGCUUGCCGGCGACGUGAACAGUGACCUUGUCUCUGUGGGUUUUAUCAUUUUUGUCCGAAUGUCGGACUCCUCAAAGAACAGCUGUUUAUUCAAAUGCAACUAUUGGUUUUACAGCUGAAAAAUAAAAAAAAAUUGAAGAAAGAUCUUUUGAAGUUGUAUAAUAUCUAAAAGUCCUGUUUACAGGCUAUUUUGUCCAAAGCAGUCGCCUUUGUCCAUUGAUGCCUUUUUUAAUGAUGGUGAUACUCUUCAACCACUUCUGAAUAUUUAUUCUAAAGCAUACAGCCGUCAAUUGUAUUUGAACUCCCUUAAAGUGAAUUUGUGUUUUAUAAUGACUUAACUGGAUGCAUUAAAUGCCACCGUGAGAUCACAUUUAGAGCCAGUUAAGGCUGACAUCAAUUACCUGGCGUAGGUCUGGAGCCUUUGCUCUGUCUCUGCUGAGAAAAGAGUGUUUUGCUCUUGAGCUCAGUCAACCUUCCACGGUUAAUAAAGGUUAAACAAUCAACCUUGACCAGUAAGUGAUUUGCCUUUGGCUCAUUUGAAGGUUUUGGUCUUUACGCCGUUACACCCUCUACUGUUCAAGGACCACAGCACACGUAUGUGUGACCUUUGCUGACACGUACACACCGUUUGCAUAACAACCUGGUUAAAACCCUGCAGACUCUUCUCUGGUGCUCUUACAAAAUGACAUCUUGAGGCAUUAAGAGACGACCAAAAGUUCCCCCGAAAAAAGGUAAAUAUAUUAUAUUGAGUAAAGAUGUGCCUAAAGACAUUUGUGUCCAUUUGUGAGACUGUAAGGUGUCUUUUUAAUCGCGUGCUGUGCCACUAGUUUUUUCAACAGUGUUUGAUGUAGUUGCAUCUGUGUUGGAGAUUGUCACCAAAUAGAGCCCCCCCCCCCCCCCAAGCGUGUUGAGAACUACGUUGGCCUUCGGGUAUCGUCUGCUCUUGUUUUCAGAACCGCAACAAUUAUUAUGUUUCAUUUACGUUACGUGUCAUUUAGCUGGCGCUUUUAUUCAGACCCAGAAUAACAAGUAACAAAGUGUAACAAAUUUCUACAAGUGUAAAGUGCUAUCGUGCUGUCUUGAAUGCUGAUAAAGUGUUUUUGGUUUGCGUCGGUAGCCGCGUAGACGUUGGGCGGUCUUGUUGUCACUGGGGGGGCUCAUUCAGUGGGGAUGUUGUUGCGUGUUUAGGCAGAUUAAUGCAGCGCGAAGUGAGCGGACAGGGACGUACGGUUUGUAGACUGGACCUCAUCUGUUUGCAGCACAGUACAAAUACCAGUGCUUUGAAAAGAAUGAGGAAGCCACUGGUAACCAGUGCACCAUAUAUAAGGUCAUUUCUCUUAUAUCUCUGCGUGUGCCCACACAGCGACACAUUGUGGCUGGAGACAAGUUUCAAUUUGGUUUCACAUUCAUUUACAUGCCAGUGCUUGUAAAUUGCACAUGCAGUACCAAGCGUAGUGUCCUCCAAAGCGAGCAUCCUAGCCCCUGUGUGUGUGUGUGUGUGUCUGCGUGUGUGCAGUGAGAGAGCAGCGUUUCAGGUGACCGCACGCUGACUUACAGGUAGUUUGGAAUAUUGUCAUGAGCCGCACUACUCCGGCUCUGAUGCAGAGCUUGCAGGAAUCAAUGAAUUAACCACGUUGUGGGAAGUUUACACAUUGGGAGUGAUUUUUGUUUUUCGUUCCCCAAAACAUUCAUGAAAGCAGCAUUAGAACAAUUCCACCAAUGAAAACGUAUUCUAACUUGUUUGUGUGCAAGUUGAAGUGAAAAAUGGUGAAUAGCAUUAAUGUUAGAAAUAGAGACACGCUGUAAAAACAAGCUUUAAAUGUCUUUGUUUGGUGUACACAUUGUUUUCGGUUCUCGUGGCUGGACUUCAGGCCUCCAUUCAUGGAUUAAUCACACACACAGACGGUUGCUCAUGUGCGAGCGAUCACACCACCGACUGGAACAGCGCGGGUUUCGUGAUCAGAGCCGACACUCGCCAGGUGACGCCUCCCGCCCUGCGGCCUACGGCACCGCAAAGGUUACUGUGCCUGUUGGCGUCAGCGUCAUGGCUGCGUGUGUGACUUACCCACGGCUUUGAGGGAGGUGUACUUGUUCAGUCCCGCCGUGCUGUGGUUCCUGUGUGGGUGGGGGAGCCCUUGUCCAAACGGCCCGUAAGCCGAGUUACUCAUCUGGUACUGUUCUGGUAGGAGAAAGGGAGACACAGGCAUUGUGAGUUGUUGUUCUUUUUGGAAUACUACAGAAGUCCAGAGUGCGUCGUGUUUCUUUCCCCCCCCCAUCACAACCACAACGUCCCUCGGUCUUUUAAAGAUGUCCGUAGAUGGUUGUCAGCUCAGUGUGUUUCAGUGUUUUCUCCCCCCGGGCUGCGGGGAGUCGGGGUGAGGAAAGAGUCCCGACCCCGACGGCCUAAACGAAGUGGGGUUAAUGGACGAUGGAGCGAACUAGCUGAGAGGAUGCAGCCCUGACUAUUAGUAUUAAUGAAGCCCAUCGAUGCAGCCAGAACACUUGAUCUCAGCCUGAGGGAUGGAUGAGCACACACACACACACGUGUGUGUGUCUGUUUCAGUACCUGACAAUUUGGUUAGUCUGUACAGUAACGACAUUAGUGCACAUACAUUUUACACACACACACACACACACGCACACAUACAUCCAAACAAUCCGUGUGUGCGCAUGUGUGUGUGCAGGAAAAUCCUCCGGUGUAAUUCAGCUGGUGCCGACCUCUCAGCAUGUGCCAGAUUAGCGGUUUAUGAGGAAAAGGUCCAUGUUACAGUUUUUUUAGAUUGCUAAACGACAGCGGGCACAACCAGAGUCACAUGUGCAAAACUCUAACUGCAGUCUGCACAGCAGCAGUUCAUGUGGACCGAACUCUCGUUCGUUUUUCCUUUCAUUUUAUAUUACAGCAUAUAUAGGUGGAGCUCAGAAAGACUCAUUCUGGAAAUGGAACAAGGAAGACGGCUUGGUGGAGGGAGACAACGAAGACAAGGAGCUGUUAUUUCAGAUGAAAUAAGGGCUUCACUUAUAGACCAUGUGGUGAACCACGUCUCUCACUGAGAGAGUUGAGGGUGAAACCCAAUCUGCAAACAUCCACAGUGGCAUCUGUGAUGCAUGUUUUCCAUCAUACAAACAGGUGAGAGGAGUUUUUCUCUGCCUGGAGGGGGAAAGUGUUCGGUCACCACCCACAUGACCAAAUGUCUCUUUUGGAAGCCGGAUGUGAGGACACGAGGAGGACUCGUGAGGACUGCCAGGGAUGGAUAAGGCUUCCAGAAGGUUCUUCCCCAGGUUCAUGGAGAGAGAACAUUAGAUGUGAUGGUGAUGAAAACCUGUGGCCUGAUGCUAGAGAGGCAGGAUCAGCCCCUCUGUUAUUUGUUUGAAUUACAGUCUGUACUUUUAGUUUCUACCUUUUUUUCUCAUCACUGUAAUUCCGUAAUUCCGACUAUUUGAAGCAAACUGAUAAUUUUCAUUUACCUUAAAGAAUUGUUAUGUUCUAAAAAUUUCCAUAAAUCAUGUGAAAGAAUGUCACUCUUUUCUUUGAAGAAAAUCUUACUUUGUAUGAAGUCACCGAAAUGGUUCAAAGUGUAAAGAUGAACAGUUAGUAUUUUGUGUGUUGGUGUUUUUACUCUCAGUGUGUUCUGAGUGACAGUGUGUGUUCUCUCACUGAGGCUUGUGCACGUGUUUGCUGCACUGAGCCGGUUUUGAGCCGUGUAUUAAAAGUUGUGUUGCUUGGAGUGAGUUUUGCAGGUGAUGUGAACUGUUUAGCUCAGGUGACUGUUGGACUGGAGUUAAGAGUUUUGCACAUCGUCGUUUAGCAAUCGAAAAAAACUGUAAGAAGAGUUCCAGUUUAUAGAAGUUCUUGAAGCAUUUUUUGAUGUAAUGCAUUCCUUUCUCUGUGCAUCAUCUGCCUGCUGUGGGCUCUGCAUGUUUUUCUUUACAUGUUACGUAUUUUGUGUGUGAACGUGCAUCUUAGUAACGAUACACAAAGGCAGCCUUAAAGCGCUGUGGGCCAGUGACAAAGGAGAGAGUGCAUUGCAUCUGUCAUCGCCGAGAUGAACGCCGAGCGUCUCCCCCCCGGCCCCCCGGUGUGUCGCGAAGUGCACAGAAUAAAGCUAGAAAGCAACAGCGUGUCCUUCAUCCGUGAGACGGCUCGUGUGUGUGUGUCUGUGAGCAUCAACGGCGGAGUCACAGCAGACACACACAAUCCUCUCCCACCCGUACGCGCCGCGUAACCCUCGCUCGCCUUCUGAUCUGCUGAGCCGGUCACACACAUGCUUUUAGUCCGAACAAUGGACGUGAUGCAAAGACUCUAGCAGAGAUGAUUGGUGAUUGAAUAAGUCGUAACUCGUCUCUCGCAAUCCCCCCCCGAAGAGUUGAGAGUGCAGGAUGUUUUGUUUUUGGGAUCUUCUGACCUCCAAAACACACAGUAUAAGACAAAAGAGACGGGGACAUUUGGGAGGAGGGUUUUGUUACUGGGUAACCUCGGUUAAAACUACAGGAGCAGCCUCAAAAUGGUCAUUUUCACCAAGCGAUCCAGGCGCUGUCUCUUAUGGCUGCUGAUUUAAACCUUUCUUUGUCAUCUCGAUUCAAUCUAAAGCUACAACGUCCGGCUUUAAAGGGACGCACAGCCACAGCGAUGAUGGCAGUCGGCCUUUUAACACUCGCCUCCAACCAUUUCAAAUGUGUUUAAUUACUCUGUGUGAAGAGCAUUACUUUUUCCACCUUGUCCAGUAUGGAAAAACCAAUACUGUUCAUCAGUUUCCUGCCCAGGCAAUCCAUCUCCUGCUCCGCUUUGUCCCGUGGGACAAUCAGGGAACAUUUUGCAUUACAUUCUGUAUCUGCAUGAUGCAUCUAAGACAAAUGAAGCAAAAACUAUUCAUGCAACUCUAGUUGUUCCGGUGGGAGGUGAUUCGUGAUGCACCGUCAUGUCAACCGUCAAAUGUUGACCGUCUUCUGUGACCAAAUACAAUACAACACGUUAUUUUAUGUCACAAAGCAGCCCACUGUUUUUCUGCAUUGUAAGAGGCCACAGGGUUUAUGUGCACGGAUGAUGGACUCACCGACACCAAUAGGUGUCAUCACUGAUGUCUCUGCCACGUCCGCGGCCUUUCACUAAACUGCCGGCUCACACUAGGAAGUGGAGUCACUUGUGUCGCAUGCCAACAUUUACCCAUUUUCUGCCACACGUUGGCUCCAUUUCAAGAUUCCUCCAUGUGCUUGAUAAAUAUGCAGCGGAUUUAGGGUGUGUGGCCCAGCAGAGGCUGCUAGACGGAAACGUAAAUCCCCGAGCAGUCGGUGGUGCCAGCACACUGUUAAAAUAUCACUUAAGCCGUUUUGAGGGCAGCAGCAGGAGGAACAGCUGGAGUGAGCUCAGGGAAAGAAGUGAGAAAGGGAGGAUGAAGAAAACCUGCCGGGACGUAAAGGUCACUGCAAAGCCAACAAGCAGCAGCUUUUUGCAAAAGUUACAGUAAUUUAAUCUGUAUUUAUUAGAGUUACAAUUUUUCAAAUCAGUAAUGAGUUGGCUUCAACCUCUUUAUUAUCACAUGCACAACAUUAAAAAGCAAUUUCAGGUAAACCGAAUGUAAACAGGAAUGUAGAUAUAUGUGCUGCACAUGUGUUCAUACGAUUCACCGCUGUGAAAUCUACGAUUGAGUCGAAGAACUAAUGUUGAUUUACUUUUGAGAUCAACCAUAUUCAUUCAACUCUCAUUCAGCUCAAA
ensembl:lncRNA